AACCUUGCAACCUAGCAUACCUGGUAGAUGCUUGAGCCAUGAUGUGCCUUAUCCUUCUAUGCAUGCUAUGCUUAGAGUUGUGUAUGGUCUGUCAUCUGGGUGAUGAACAGAAUUGUGAGAAUGUGUUCAGUAAGUAAAGGUUGUGUGGUUGAACCUGAUUUGGUAAAGGUAUCGGUGAAAGGCUAUGUAGGAGUACAUGGCGGGUUGUUUCAUUGGAAC
rnacentral:lncRNA from 1 species